rnacentral:rRNA from 1 species
UACGUAGGUAGCAAGCGUUGUCCGGAAUCAUUGGGCGUAAAUCGCGCGUAGGCGGCCUCGUAAGUCCGUUGUGAAAGUCAAAGGCUCAACCUUUGAAAGCCGAUGGAUACUGUGAGGCUAGAGUCCGGAAGAGGCGAGUGGAAUUCCUGGUGUAGCGGUGGAAUGCGCAGAUAUCAGGAGGAACACCGGUGGCGAAGGCGGGUCUCUGGGCAGUAACUGACGCUGAGGAGCGAAAGCGUGGGGAGCGAACAGG